UACAGAGGUCUCAAGCGUUGUUCGGAUUCAUUGGGCGUAAAGGGUGUGUAGGUGGCGCCGUAAGCCGGGUGUGAAAUUUCGGAGCUUAACUCCGAAACUGCAUUCGAUACUGCGGUGCUUGAGGACUGGAGAGGAGACUGGAAUUCAUGGUGUAGCAGUGAAAUGCGUAGAGAUCAUGAGGAAGACCAGUGGCGAAGGCGGGUCUCUGGACAGUUCCUGACACUGAGACACGAAGGCCAGGGGAGCAAACGGG
rnacentral:rRNA from 1 species